UUUUAAUCUCUUUUUUCUGAUGGGCCUAGAGUAGCUUUUUCUCUAUAGGGCAAAUUUUGUCUUAUGAUUAAGGUAUGAUCAUCUGGAGUCUUUCCUAAAUUCCCUAUACACUUAGUGAGGCCUCUCUACCCUGCAUAGUAAGAAUUUACUUUCCAACCAUGCAUAAACUCUGAGAAUAGGUUAACUCACAGUGCCUCAGUAAUGUUCUUUCUUUAGGAGUUAUUCUUUACCUAUCCUCAUGCCCUAUAGCAUGUGUAAAAUGGUAUGGAUUCAAAUAUUUAAGGGAUACCUGUGCACAUUUCUGGAACUCUUUCUCUGCUUAGCUCCCUCCUUUAGAGUACUCUUCCUUGAAAAUUAUGGCUACUUCAAAGUUCUUGAAUUCCUAUCUUCAUAUCUUCAAUUCAGCAAGACUACUGGUUCCCCUUUUUAUGCUACUGCCCCGUAAUUUAUUCCAAGAAUACAUUUGGGACAAGAAAUGGCAGAGCUCACCGAUUUUAUUUCCCAUCUUUCAGGAAUCAUAGUCUUAAACUGCCAUCUAUUACAUGUCUGAAAACAGUUGUACCAUAUAGUGUCCAAUUUUUUAGUUGAUUUUGGAUGGGAAUGUAAGUACAAAUCCUUUUGCUCCAUCAUAAUCACAAGUGGAAUUCAAAAUAACAUUUAAGACAGAAUUUGCAUAGCCGUGUACAUAUUUCUUUCUUUCUUUCUUUCUUUUUUUGUAACAGAUUCUUGUUCUGCCACCCAGGCUGGAGUGCAGUGGUUAGAUCUUGGCUCGCUACAACCUCUGCUUCCUGGGUUCAAGCAAUUCUCCUGCCUCAGCCUCCCAAGUAGCUGGGAUUACAGGCGUGAGCCACCAGGUCUGGCUAAUUUUUAUAUUUUUUGUAGAGACGGGAUUUCACCAUGUUGGCCAGGCUGGUCUCAAACUCCUGACCUCAAGUGAUCCACCAGCCUCGGCCUCGUAAAGUGCUGGGAUUACAAAUGUGAACCACUGUGCAUGGUCUAGCCAUGUAUAUAUUUCAAAACCGAGCGUUCUUUAACUCAAGGAAGAUAGCAGUAAGAUAUUUUCUGAUUCAGCACCUUAGUAAUGACUCAAGAUUUACCUCAUCAUCUGACACUAAAAAUCAGAUUGAAAACACCAAAUGUGUUAAUUCUGUGAUAGUGUAGCAAAAAAGAAAAAACAAAAAAAUCUUGUUUUGCUUCUGGCAAUACCUGCCACCAAAUCCUGGCCCAGCUGUUUAACGUGCUGAUGUUCACUCCUUUGAGGAUUUUGUUUCCAAAUCAAAAAGAAAGGUAGAAAAUGGUUUUCUCCAUACGUAUCAAUUCUGAACAAUAUUAGCUUCUCCAAAAUUACAUGGAAACUAGGAUCUCUGGAGAAAUCUUUUAUUUUACUGCAGGUGACAGCUAUUUGGUUUUAUGCUAUUUUUCUGUGCUCAGUAAAUACUUUUUGAAAAAUCAAAAAUGGGCUGCUAUACAUGAAUACAGCAAAAUAUUCAGGAACCAGGAUGGAUGCAAGGUAAUAACCUUUUUACAUUCAAUACAGCUGCUAAAAAGUGAUGGAUGAUGUGGCAUUUCAUGAUCUGUGAAUCUAACUUAUGUUACCUUUUAUAUCCCAUCAUCCUACAAGCCUGCCAUGACUUUAUUAUCCCCCAUAAUUUGGCCAAUCUUCCAUUGGGCAAGAAGCAGGAUAUCCAGAAUAUAUUGGGCUGAAAGUUUCUGCCAGUCAAGAAUAUGAGAUCAGCUGAUGGUUCCGACUCAGGGUCUUUCAGAAGG
rnacentral:lncRNA from 1 species